rnacentral:rRNA from 1 species
GGCUUAGCUGUCUCCUUUUUCUAGCCAAUGAAAUUGAUCUUUCCGUGCAGAAGCGGGAAUAACAACAUAAGACGAGAAGACCCUAUGGAGCUUUAGACACUAAGACAGAUCACGUCAAACACCCCAGCUUAAUGGGCCGAACUAAGUGAGCCCUGUCCUAAUGUCUUUGGUUGGGGCGACCCUGGGGAGACAAAUAACCCCCAUGUGGAGUGGAAACACCAUAUUUCCAGAACUAAGAGCUAACCGCUCUAAGGAACAGAAUUUCUGACCAUUUUAGAUCCGGCUACUGCCGAUCAGCGGACCGAGUUA